rnacentral:lncRNA from 1 species
GGAGGAGGCGACCGGGGGAGAGUGUGGGGCUGGACGGUCGGUCGGUCCAGUUGGGCUGCCUUGGCCCUUUGGGCCAGGAAACCCAGAGGGCAGGGAGGCCUUUUUCUUUUAUUUAACUUAGCUUUUGUUUUUCUUUAAAAACUUUUCUGAUUUCCAAAACUUUUCCAAACCAAAACAGUUUUAUAGAUCAUAAAACUUACACCUAAAAUAUUAGUAUAAUUUAGGCUAAAGCCAUAUUAAUUUGAACAUUUAAAUAAAAUAGUUUAGUAUUUUCACAAAUUAUAAAGGCAAUUAAAUUAUUGAUUAGGCCACUGUUUUAUUUAGUUUAGGGUAGUUAAACACCUUAUAAAAAGGUUGUUUCACCACCAAUAUUAACAAAUGAUUAUUAGCCACAUGAUGAACAUUUUAGAUUUCAUUUUUGUGAAAUUUUAAAUUUCACUUAGUAAUUGAAUUUGAAUUCAAGUGGAAUUGAAAAAAGAGAUAGGAUCUAAGAUGAUCAUGCAUUGUUUAGCAAAAAGGUUAGAUUAACCCCAGGGGGUUACUAUAGCAUGAUUCUCGGGGUGUUACAAAUCUCCUCUACUACAAGAAAUCUCGUCCCGAGAUUUAAGAGGUGGUGUAAGGGGGAAAGUUGCGGUUGCGAAAUUCUAACCGACCUUCUCGGUCUUGGUUGCUCUUCUCGAAGAGGUCGAUCCAUUACAUUGAUGUCUUCAUUUCUCUGGUUCAGGUCAUCAUGAUGAAGUCGUCAUUCUUUCUUCGGGAAUUCGAUCGUACUUACGAAAGUAUAAAGGGUGGGUAUUCCGGGAGAACGGACCUCUGCAAGGUUGACUAUCUGUUCGAUAACAUCGGGGAAGGUGGCGAAAAGUAACUCUCGAAUUGAAUUAAGAAAAUAUCGAGAGCAAUGUAAGGAGGUAUCAUGGGAAGUUUCAAGCGGUCAGGCAAUAGUUCGAUGUCUGUUACAGGGCAUGAAAGGGGUUCAAAGCAACGGUAAUAAGUAUUGUGUCUAAUACCAGAAUUGAUGAUCUCUCGGAAGGUGGCUCAUGAAUUACAUACGAGGCCAUGCGCGAGGAACAACCUUGGGAACAGGGGGUACAGGAGAGUCGGGUUUCGAUCCUGUGGAACUGUGGGUUAUGGGCCCACCAUGUGGUUAAAAGUAGGAAAGGCGUUGACACCUUGCACGGUCAUGAUAGCAAGACAUGUCAGAGGGUAGCCUAUCAGUUAUGUCAGCAACAAUGUCGAUACCAAGGGCGAGGGACGAAGAGAACCAUUUUCCUGCUCGUUAAACGAGGCGGACCAUUAGGCAAAGUUCUCGUCCAUCGGUGGCUACCGGAAUGUCAUCAACUAUAGUAACAGGGUCUUGCCGACAGAAUUGUACACUGAGGUGUUUACACAGGCAGGAGAAUAUUACUGUUUAGAUCAUAUAGACAUCAAGAAAGGUUAAACCAAGAAGUGGAAAGGAUAAUAUGAUUAUCAAAUUGAACAGAACAAUGGAAAGGAAAAUGUGUUUAAACACAUAUUUUAGGGGUAUAUCCUUCCCAAGGACAAACAGAGCAUGAUAUCCAUGACAUGAUAGAAGUAGAAAACCAUUUAGGUAAGGGGAGAGGAAUUUCGUGACAUUACCCAAACAACAGUGUUUGAAUAAGUGAUCAAGAAACAGUUAUUAUUGCGCCUCCAAUGUUCUUAAUGAUGUUUGGAGUACCACAGUCAUGCUUCAGGAUAGCAUUGACAUGGUGUUUCAAGCAAGAUUGAAUCUGAAGGUCACAAGAAGUACAAAGGAACAAUUCCAAGAAUGUCAAGGAAUGUAAGAUAUAACCAAAACAUGACCAAGUCUGUAUUGGUAGGAAGUCAAGGAUGGUGUCGAUGUCAACAUGAAUCAUCGACGGGCAAGGAUGGUAUUUCUCCUCAAGAAUUCGAUUGAUAUCGUAGAACAAGGCAGUAUAUUGAUGGUGAUCACGACAAAUUUUGUCGAGAGGCUCUAUGAAGAUGCCAUCGAGCAGCAACGACAUCAAGCAAAAGGAAUGAUGAAGCGAAGGUAUUGGAACCAUGGAUACGACACAAGCUCGGAUUCAAGCUUGUUGUUCAAGGUGGAAUGAUAAGAUGAGGAAGAUCGACGUAAGAUUCGCUCAUCGUCGGAAAGUUGUGCUCCAGGAAUAAGGACCAGGUAGCACAGUUAAAAUUAGUACGAUAAUGAUAUAGCCGAUCAGGCUAGGAAUGAUGUGAUGGAGUAUCACUCCAAUUAAGAAUUUACAAGAGGUAGUGCAAUGACACAAUAUCCUCGAGAUAACAUGAGGCAAUACUUGAAGGUAGAUCAAAUUAGAGGUUGGGCAGGUGAAAUGACUUGCAGGAGACAAGUAUUUCAAUUUGCCCGGGAACUGGAAUUAAGGAGAAAUUAUGGUCGGAACCACGAAUGCAAAGAAUCGAUUUACAGAUGCAAGAUGAGCUGGUACCAAGGGAACAUUUGAUUAUAAGAGAAGCUUCCAUGAUAAGAUCUACAUCGUGUCUAUGGGCAUGAACACAAAGUUCAAGGUCGACUCCCACUUCUUCAAUGCAUAACCUCUCAUUUACUUCUCGCUUUUGACGAAGUUGUAGUGUAGAAAUUUUUAUCCGGCGUAACACCAGUAGAAUACGACCCAUAGAAAUUUUCGGGUUCACACAAAUUAGGGAAAGCAUUAGUUCAACCCGUCGGGGCAUCUUAGGAACAUUUGCAAAAACUUUAGAGGUAAUUAACUCAAGCUCGGAAGCAGAGCAUGGUAGACAAAAGUAGGGGAUACAAUUUACCAAAGGCAUUAUGUAUUAGGGAAGAAUUCACAAGGUGAUUAAAUAUGAAGGACAUUGUCGGAUGGUAGUCCAACAAAGGAUCCGAUGACUCAUAACAGAGCUGAUGUGGGUAUUGGUACCCAAUCAGACGAAGAAAGAAUGCAAUGAGAUGAGAUUAUAGAAGCAACUAACUAAUUCAAAGUUUAAUUAACAAUGGAAUUAUGAUAUCCAAAAUGAAGGGCCAGAAGCAGACGCUCUCAUCAAAUGAUGGGUAAGUUGAAUAUAAUUAGAACGGCAAUCAACCAAGGUUUGAUUUGCCGAAAACCAGCUCAUGUCCGGAGUGGAGUCUGAGCCAGAAGGAUAAAUAAUUACCAGGGGAAUAACUAAUGAAUGUGUGCAUUCACGCACAUGUCGAAUCAAUAGGAUAAGAAUGACAAUCUAAAAGGAGUUUAAUGAAUAUUGUUAGGCAUAUGGAAUUAACCAUAAUGCAAGACGAUAAGGAAGAACAUGAUCAAUAGGUUACUGAGGAUUAUCGAAAGAUUGGAUAGUAUUCCAAAGAAUUUGUGAAACACAUGAACAACUAGGGAUGAACGGAUCCCUGGUAAGUGUGAGGAAUUAUUCAUACAUGUAUUCAUGCGGAAAAGGAGCUUCAAGGCAGCAGGCACAAAGGAUUCUCGGAAUAUCCGCAGUAUUUCAGGGUAUCUUGUAAUAACAAGAACAACUAGAAAAUGAAGGUAUGGACAACAAGUGUAUGCAGCUAUCCUUAAGGAUUUAUCGGUGAUAUGGAAUUGCAACGCCGAAGGCACAAGGGUUUCGGGGAAACAUCGGAGAGUAUCUUCGAAAUCUUCUGGCACAGCAAGCGAUCAUCUGGACUGAAGGGCUCUCCCGGAGAAGUGGUUAUGAGAACCUAGUGUCAGUGUUAGAAAAACAUUUAACCCGAAUAGACGAGAGAUCGGAGUCCCAGAGUAAGGAAGUGGAAUAAAAGAUCCUAAUAUCACUCAAUUGGCAACGUGGGCCAGUAAGCCACACAGCCAUGUUAGUAAAACAGUUUUGCAACGACUAGACUCAACUUCGGCUAAGGAGUUGGAAAGGGGGAUUCCUACAGGCAGUCGGCUCUGAUACCAACUUGUGACGCCCUGGAUUCAAUCGUACACUAAUCAUACAUGCAAAUGUGUACGAUCAAGAUCAAGGACUCACGGGAAGAUAACACAACACAACUCUAGAGACAAAUUAAAAUAAUACAAGCUUUAUAUUACAAGCCAGGGGCGUCGAGGGCUCAAAUACACAAGAGUCAGCGGAAGCAACAAUAUCUGAGUACAGACAUAAGUUGAACAGGUUUGCCUUAAGAAGGCUAGCACAAAAGCAACAACGAUCGAAAAGGCAAGGCCUCCUGCCUGGGAGCCUCCUAACUACUCCUAGACAUCGGCGGCUGUCGGGGUCAAAACCGGCGGAUCUCGGGUAGGGGGUCCCAAACCGUGCGUCUAAGGUCGAUGGUAACAGGAAACAGGGGACACAAUGUUUACCCAGGUUUGGGCCCUCUCUAUGGAGGUAAUACCCUACUUCCUGCUUGAUUGAUCUUGAUGAAUAUGAGUAUUACAAGAGUUGAUCUACCACGAGAUCGUAAGGGCUAAAACCCUAGCAGUCUAGCCUGUAUGACUAUAUAUGUUUCCGGACUAAGCCCUCCGGUUUAUAUAGACACCGGAGGGGAUUAGGGUUGUACAAAGUCGGUUACAGAGAAAGGAAUCUUCAUAUUUGGUCGCCAAGCUUGCCUUCCACGCCAAGGAGAGUCCCAUCCGGACACGGGAGAGAGUCUUCGGUCUUGUAUGUUCACAGCCCAUUAGUCCGGCCCAUGUCCAACAGGCCGGACGCCCGAGGACCCCUUAGUCCAGGACUCCCUCAGUAGCCCCUGAACCAGGCUUCAAUGACGAGGUGUCCGGUGUGCAGAUUGUCUUCGGCAUUGCAAGGCAGGUUCCCCUUUCCGAAUACUCCAAGAUAGUCUUCAGACACAACGAACGUGUCCGGAUCUGCAACACAAGUACCACACACACAGCCGUAGAGAGUAUCAUAUUUCACGAGUCCCAUCCACUGACAACUUUUUGCAAGAUGACAUCACGUCUGCCCGGUCAUUAUUUCAAACCAUUUUCGUCUGCCGUUCCGUGUUUCGAGAUGCGGUUUCCAUUGGCACGUCUUGUCAAAGCAGAGAUCUUGUCCCCUUAUCGCGGGAUUCUCAUCAAUACGGGCGUGGGUAAUCCAAUCGCACUGUUUACACAGCCCUUGGGAACAGGCGAAUUUUAAGGCGAGUGGGGAGGCGCUUGAUAUUCACUGCCUUUAUAAGGAGAUAAGGAUUCCCCUUCUUCACCCACCUUCUCUUUCUCUACCCCUCCAUUCUCGAGCUCCAGCGCCCAAGUCCUCAUCCUUUCCGCUUGAAGAAAGCACUCAACCAUGUCCGGAUCUGGAGGGCAAGGCAAGUGGAUGGCCUCCUCCGUCAAGGAGAAGGACAUUACUGAGCUUCGGGCGGCCGGGUAUCUGGCGAAGGAAAUCGCCCACCGUCUUCUGGCAAAGGGGCAAGUCAUCCCCUCCCCGAAGCCCAAUGAGAGGGUGCUGUUCAUCCCCCAUUUCGUCCGUGGGUUAGGGUUUCCUCUCCACCCUUUCGUCCACGGACUUAUGUUCUAUUAUGGACUAGAUUUCCAUGAUCUAGCCCUGAACUCUUUCCUCAACAUCUCGGCAUUCAUUGUCAUGUGUGAGGCUUUCCUCCACAUCCAGCCCCACUUCAGACUGUGGCUCAAGAUCUUCAAUGUGAAGCCGAAGGUGGUGGAUGGCCAACACGUAGAGUGUGGAGGAGCCAUGGUGAGCAAGAUGCCCAACGUCACAUGGCCAAAGGCACGUUUGUGGAGACUGUCAAGGAGUGGCAGAAGUUGUGGUUCUAUAUCACAGAGCCCCGCGACGCCACCUGGGCCGCGGCUUCCGAAUUCAAGUCCGGAGCUCCAAUGCGGCUUCCCUCCUGGAUGGAGAAGGGCCCAAAUUGGUCUUCGUCGGAUGAGCUGAUAGCGCUGCAAACGUGUAUCCAAAGCAUGGUGGACAAAAACAUCAAGCUCGUCGACGUGAUCCUGGUGAUGCUAGUUCGCCGGAUCCUCCCCUGCCAAAGGCGAACCUCCCCUUUAUGGGAAUUUGAUCCGGAGAAGCACCAAACCUUGGUGAGGCUCUUCGGAACCACUCACGAAGAUGCCUGGAAGUUGCUCCUCAAGGGCAAAGAGAAGCCGCCGGCCAUAGACUCGGAUCACGGGCACAAUCUUGCCCAUCCCUCCAAUGCGGUAAGUCCUUCACGUCUCAAGGUGUACCCUCUACUUUCUUGCUCAAGGAGGGUAACUAAACUUUACUAAUUUAUUCUUUCAGGUAUGGACAGAGAAAGCAGAGCGGAUUCAAUGUUCGGCUCCGCUACCCGAAGAACCAGUCAUCCCGCUCCUGGCGAAGAUGCUGGUCCCGGCGCCCUAUCAGCCGCCGGAGAAGAAGUCCAAGAAGAAGGCCAAGGGGGCCAAAAGUAGCCCCCGUCGCAAGGGUGCUUCGGACGUGACGUCCAAAGACGAUGAGACCCAUUCCUCCGCCGCUGAGGAUGACGAGGAGGAGGAGGAGGAAAACAACCCUCCCCCUGAUGGGGGAAGGAAGAAGAGGGCGGCCUCCACGAGUCUGGAGGCGGAGGCGUCCAAGAGGGGGAAGGGCUCCCUUGUGGAUAACUCCGCAUGGGACAUCGACAGCAGUCCGGAGCGACACCCCCGGAACAAGCCCCUGGCCGCAUCGUAAGUACUGGAAAACUUGUAUUCGUCUGUGUAUCCUACCUCUUCGCCUCAUGGUAUUAACAUGUCAAAUAAUGCUAUUGCAGUCCGGCCCAUGACAGCUCCCAGCGAUCCUCAUCAGGAGGUUCGCUGGAUUCGAAGGCGAUGGCCAACGAUCACCGCCGGCCGCUCAAUCUCCCAAGGCCAAGGGCGACGCCGUGGUGCUGUCCCGAAGGACCUUCCCCGGCCAGGGAGAGGGUCAGGAGGCGCCAGAGGGCGAGGCCUCAGUCGCCGGACACAUGGGGCAGCAGACCCCCAUGGAGACGGGCGAUGGGGGCCAUGCUUAGUUCGUCCCCCAACCGAAUACGAUAACGGAGACCUAUACGGCUCCGGAAUCCGGCGAGCAACCUCCUUCGAAAGAAGGGGGUGUGCCUAUUCCGCCAGUGACCUCUGUCCAACCAGAGGCACCGGAUAAUCUGCUGGAAGCGCUACGAGGCGCUUCCAUCGUGGAUGAACACCAUAUCCUUAUGGGUACGGUGAUUGAGAGGAUUCAGUCCGUCAAGAGCGGACUGACCGAAGCCUGCAGCAGCCUGCUGACCAGCUUUGAGGUAAGCUACACAAAAGGAAAAAUCCCAAUACAGACAGUAGCCCCUGAGACACUGUCCGGUGCUCGGAAAGAAAAGCCGGACAGAGGAUCAAUUAAAUUUUGCAGGAAACUAACUAAAUAUGUCUUAUGUGAAUAAGCAGGCAUCGUUGCUGGCUGCAACCUCACACACUGCCGAAGUCUCCGGACUAAAGUAGAGACUGGAGCGGGCCGAGGAGGAGCUCGGCCAAGUGAGGAAGCAUCUAGAAGACAAGCAAGGUAUGCGAUGACUCGCUAUAUAUUCGGAAAGAAUAAAUGAUGUGUAUUGAACGUAGUGUCAUGAUAUGUGUAGGAGCGAUGACCGAGGUCAAGGCCCUUAAAAAGGCCCUGGCCGAAGACGAGGAGAAAGCUGCCAAGGAGCAAGCCGCCCGCAAGAAGCUCAAGGCCAGGCUUAACAAGGUCCAGCAAGAGCUCCAGGAUGCUGUGAAAAAAUGUGAGGCCUUGGAGUGCGAUGUUUCAGCUCAAGAGACCGAACUCGCCAAGGCUCGCCAAAGCGCGGAAGAGGCCCGGGUUGAAUCCCAGGGCGCCCUCCAGGAGAUCCAGGAGGCCAAGAAGAUCGCGGCGGGUAAGGCGUUUAGUAUGCAAAGCAAGUAUGUGAGGAAGAAGUAUUUCUUACUAACCCGGAUUCGGAGUUCUCCAGGGGUGUUUGCGGAUUUGCCGCGUAGUGUGUCUGACGCUGCGGAGUUCUUCCGAGCCGAAGAAGGGAGCUCAACGGAGAAGCUGUUCUGGUCACAAUAUCUUGCGCGAGAACAUCCAGUGCCCUUUAGCGAUUAGCUAAAACAACCGGUCGAGCUGCAUAGGGUGGCCAAGCUAGCCAUGAAGGAUUGGAUAAUCCGGCUGUGGCCUGCCGAAGCUAUACCCAGUAGCUACUUCGGUCUCAUGAAGCGGCUGGUAGAUGCCUGCCCUCGGUUGCACGUCGUCAAGCAGUCGGCCUGCAUCGAGGGCGCGCGCAUGGCCUUCGCCCGCGUCAAGGUGUGGUGGGCGAAGAUGGAUGCCGUCAAGCUUGUGACCGAGGGGCCGCCCGAAGGCAAGGAGCACCGCACGCCCGAGAGGUAUUUUGAAGACGUCCUGGAGGGGUCUAGCAUUGUGGCGACGCAAUGUGCGCAGGACAUUAUCUUUGAAUGAAUACAGUCAUGUUGUCUUCGCCUUGUAUGAUGAAACAAAGUUGUUAUGUAAUAUAAUAUUUGUUUUAAAAAAAAUUACCUCCUGUGCGGCCGUGUUGUAUGAAAUCUGAGAGUUGGCCAGUCGUCGGCUUCUGCCCCCACGUAGGUAGUACGGGGGUGUUCGGGAUGGAAUCUAAACACUCUUGAUCCAAUUGUUUGGUCCUUGAAGGAGGUGUUUAGCGCAACGAACCAGGCAAUCAGACUAUGCGGCUUUAGCACCCUCACUUAGCCAUAGGAGUUUGACAAUAAAAAUGUGGGCGCAGCCCCUAGUAUCCGAACUAGGAUGCUAUAAGCACCUGAUCGGGUGAGUACCGAUUCCUCGCGUAAUGCGGAAAAAAUUUCUAACGAUUUGAAACCUCCGAAGAGCUGACCGGCUCUCGCCGCAUCAUGACUGUCAGUUUUUGGCUUUCUCUACUGAGGUGCUCCUUCGGGUAAACCAGGGCACAAUCGCAGUAGUUCUCCCUUUACUACCUUAGCCCAUAUAGCGGAACAUAAGGUAGCAAGCACAGGAGCCGGGCAACCCAACUAUUGACCAAAGACAUGAUUCGGAGCCAAUGCAUAUAGUGUUAAUGCGGGGUGCCGAACUAUACCGUAAAAAGUGUUCAGACUUUGUUGCCGUAGUGUGGGGUGCUAUGAAGCCCCUGGAAAAUGUGAAACAUACCAAAGUGUACGGGUGCUAUCUGAUAAGGUUAUCAACAGAAAAAGGAAAACAAAAAGGGAGCAAAGGUAAUGAGCUGGGGCCCUAAAAUUUGGGCCGCAAACUGUUUCCAUUAUAAUUUGAUUAAUACGUCAAAGUGCAUUGAUACAAGUAGUGCGAUAAGCAACAGGCUAUUUAACAUGCCACAACCAAGGGAGAGCUGCGUGUGGGUCCUGAAAACAGGUAGAGUAAUCAUUAAAGAAACCACCUAGAAAUUCCCCUGUACGUCUGUGCUUCUUGCCAUCUUGGUGUAUUUAUCCUUCGAAAGGACCGCGGGUCAGGCCGUCAGAGGAGGCCUGUGGAAAAGAAACCUGAAAAGGAGAAAAAGGAAACAGUGAAAGUAUAUGUGUCCGGGAGCGGUCGAGCCGAAUUGUGGAUCACAAGGUAGGUAUGCCUCCAUCUAUGCCCAUGGUAUUUUGAGUGCAUAGUUAUGUACGCGCGGUGCGAAUGCCGCAACUUGAUCGGGACUGGGACGGAGACCAAAUUGCUAAACAAGCUCUCGACGAGCCGAGUUGUCCUGCUGCAGAAUAGUCUAGACUCUCUUGACAGUGUCCGGGAGUUCGGCCGCUGAAUUGAGGUUCUGCUUGAGAAGGCCGCUCUGUACUUCUGCUGCUAAGGCAGCGAUGUGCUCCUCGGUACGGAGUGAGUGUUUCGUGUUUCCAUUAGCUGUUAUGACGCCGCGUGGUCCGGGCAUCUUGAGCUUGAGAUAAGCAUAAUGCGGCACCGCGUUAAAUUGAGCAAAUGUCGUUCCUCCUAGCAAUGCGUGAUAGCCGCUGCGAAAGGGGACGAUAUCGAAGAUUAACUCUUCGCUUCGGAAGUUAUCCGGAGAUCCGAAGACAACCUCGAGUGUGAUUGAGCCCGUACAGCGGGCCUCUACACCUGGUAUGACUCCUUUAAAGGUAGUCUUUGUGGGCUUGAUCCAUGAUGGGUUAAUGCCCAUUUUGCGCACUGUAUCCUGAUAGAGCAGAUUGAGGCUGCUGCCACCGUCCAUGAGGAAUCGUGUGAGGUGGAAUCCAUCAAUGAUUGGGUGAAGGACCAGUGCGGCUGAACCGCCAUGACGGAUACUGGUCGGAUGAUCCCGACGAUCAAAAGUGAUCGGGCAUGACGACCAUGGAUUGAAUUUUGGGGCGACGGGCUCUAUCGCAUAGACGUCCCUGAGCGCGUGCUUGCGCUCCCUCUUGGGGAUGUGUGUAGCAUAUAUCAUGUUCACCGUUUUGACCUGAGGGGGAAACUUCUUCUGUCCCCCUGUGUUCGGUUGCCAGGGCUCCUCGUCAGCAUCCUCACUUUGCGAUCCCUUUUCCUUGUUCUCGGCAUUUAACUUGCCGGCCUGUUUGAAAACCCAACAAUCUCUGUUGGUGCGAUUGGCUGGUUUGUCUGGGGUGCCAUGGAUCUAGCACGGACGGUCGAGUAUGUCGUCCAAGCUAGAUUGCCCUGAGUUGUUUCUUUUAUAUGGCUUCUUUCGCUGACUGGACUUGGAGCCACUGAAUCCGGCGUUGACUGUCGUGUCAUCGGUGUUGUCACCAUUGCUUCGGCGUUUGUGUCUGCUGCGUCGGAGCUUGCCGUUGCUAUUUUUGACCUUGGAGGUGCCCAUUUCACUUGUUGUGUUUUUGCUACGGGCCAGCCAACUAUCCUCACCCGCACAAAAGCGGGUCAUGAGUGCCGUGAGGGCUGCCAUGGACUUUGGCUUUUCCUGGCCGAGGUGGCGGGCGAGCCAUUCGUCACGGAUGCUAUGUUUAAAGGCCGCUAGGGCUUCGGCAUCCGGACAGUCGAUGAUUUGGUUCUUUUUAGUUAGGAGCCUAGUCCAGAAUUUCCUGGCUGACUCUCCAGGCUGUUGAACUAUGUGACUUAAGUCAUCGGCAUCUGGUGGCCGGACAUAUGUAACUUGGAGUUGUCAAGGAAGGCUUCUUCCAAGUCCUCCCACCUGCCAAUAGAACUUUCAGGCAGACUAUUUAACCAGUGCUGAGCUGGCCCUUUGAGUUUUAGUGGGAGGUAUUUGAUGGCGUGAAGGUCAUCUCCACGGGCCAUAUGGAUGUGGAGAAUAAAAUCCUCGAUCCAAACCGCGGGAUCCGUUGUUCCAUCAUAUGAUUUGAUAUUUACGGGUUUAAACCCUUCUGGGAAUUCAUGAUCCAUUACUUCGUCAGUGAAGCAAAGGGGGUGUGCGGCGCCUCUAUAUUGGGCCACAUCGCGACGUAGCUCCGAUGGAGUCCGUAUGCGGUUUUCGGCCUGGGCAUGACUAGGCUUGUCACGUACGAAUAGAUAGCCAUCGUCACGUGUCGGGGCACGUCCUCGCGAUCCGUAGAUCGAUCUGGUAUGUCCUGCUCUACUGUCCAGGUUCUGCCGAAGGUCAUAUGUAUAACCCCGAGCUGUUCUAUCUCUGCCUUUACGGCGAGGUGGGGCGGGCUGGUGUUCGGCUUGAGUUGUCGCUUUAUCCCGACCGUGUGGUGCUCGGUUGGCCACAUUGCACGAUGAUGGUACGGGCUCCGGUGCCUCAUCAUCGAACUGAGGUAGCAAUUUGUACUUCCGGUAACUUUUGGCUGGGUGCUUAAGGCCGUAUUCUUCGACUGCUAGGACAUCAGUCCAUCUGUCGUUGGGCAGAUCUUGGUCAGCCUGAAGCUGCUGCUCCUUCUUUUUCACGCUCCUUGCAGUGGCUAUUAGCUGGCGCUUAAAACGCUCCUGCUCGAGAGGUUCCUCAGGCAUGAUAAAAUCCUCAUUGCCAAGGCUCACCUCAUCCUCGGAGGGUGGAAGAUAAGUGUUGCCCUCCGACUCAUCGUUUAUGGCCUGUUCAUCAGGGCUAACUUGCCCAUCUCCCGAUCGUCCUGUUCGGCCGUUUGUUCGUCGAGAUCUUCUCUGUCUUUGGCACCGUCCGGAGUGUUAUCGUCUCCUGUGCCGGUGUUGCUGUCCUUGCUGCGGCGGGAUUUAGAGUGGCGCCGCUGACGCCGGCGCUUUGGCUGUGUCUUAGGAGGCUCAUCCUCAACUGGAUUUUCCUUGUCCUUGUCGUUAUUCUCUUUAGGUGUAUCCACCAUGUAUACAUAGUACGAAGACGUGGCCAUCCAGCGUCCGGUGAACGGCGGGUUUUGGCCAUGCUCCUCAUCUGCAUCGUCCUCCAUACCGUCGAUGUCUUCGGAGCCGUAAUCGAGCAUGUCGGUUAAGUCCUCGACAGUGGCUAUGUAGUGGGUGGCGGGUGGGAAGCAAAAUUCCCCGUCAUCAGCCUCCAGUUCGAACCGGAUACAGUUCGGCUGUGAGUGCCCCGCGAAGGACAGAUUUUUUAAUGAGUUCAGCACAUCGCCUAAAGGCGAGUGCCGGAAGAUGUCCGCGGUGCUGAAUUCGACGAUCGAUGACCGAUCCUGCUCGACAUACGCGGGCACACAUGGUUUGGAACUUAUAGCCGGAAAGGAGGCCGAGGUUCCGAUGACAUGGACAUCACCCUAGGUUAGGUUUGUGUGCGGCUCCAACGCCGUGGAAUCUGCGGCUUUCGUGGCGGGGUUGAGCUUCCCGUCCUCGGAUGGCGCGAUCUGCUCCAGAUCUAAGGCCAGAGUGGUUACAGGUGCAAUUUGCUGGGUAUGGCCCGAUGACAGAUUUAUGUCAUGUUCAUCGCGGUGACGUGGAGCGACUGCCGUGGUCUCGAAUCCAUCGAAGAUCAAGUCUCCGCGGAUAUCCGCGACGUAGUUCAAGCUCCCAAAUCUGACCUGACGGCCAGGGGCGUAGCUAUCGAUCUGCUCCAGAUGGCCAAGCGAGUUGGCCCGCAGUGCGAAGCCGCCGAACACGAAGACCUGUCCGGGGAGGAAGACCUCUACUUGGAGAGUAUUGUUGUGGAUGAUUGAAGGAGCCAUCAAACCUUUUGAGGAUGGCACGGUGGAACUCUCAAUGAAAGCACCAAUGUCGGUGUCAAAACCGGUGGAUCUCGGGUAGGGGGUCCCGAACUGUGCGUCUAAGGUCGAUGGUAACAGGAGACAGGGGACACAAUGUUUACCCAGGUUAGGGCCCUCUCUAUGGAGGUAAUACCCUACUUCCUGCUUGAUUGAUCUUGAUCCAUAUGAGUAUUACAAGAGUUGAUCUACCACGAGAUCAUAAUUGCUAAAACCCUAGAAGUCUAGCCUGUAUGACUAUAUAUGUUUCCGGACUAAGCCCUCCGGUUUAUAUAGACACCAGAGGGGACUAGGGUUGUACAAAGUCGGUUACAGAGAAAGGAAUCUUCAUAUUUGGUCGCCAAGCUUGCCUUCCACGCCAAGGAGAGUCUCAUCCGGACACGGGAGAGAGUCUUAGGUCUUGUAUCUUCACAGCCCAUUAGUCCGGCCCAUGCCCAACAAGCCGGACGCCCGAGGACCCCUUAGUCCAGGACUCCCUCAGCGGCCUCCACGUAGUAGUAAGAACCCUCGUGGUAGUAGUAGUCAUCGUCGACGGUGGCGUCUGGCUCCUGGGCUCCACCAUCUAGUUGCAGCAUCCGGGAAGAAUGGAAAGAGGUGGAAAAAGGGAAGCAAAGCAACCGUGAGUACUCAUCCAAAGUACUCGCAAGCAAGGAUCUACACUACAUAUGCAACGUUAUCAAAGGGGGCCUGUAUAUGUGGACUGGACUGUAGAAAUGUCAGAAUAGAGAGAAGUCCUAGUCCUAUUGAAGACUAGCAUCUUCAGCAUCUUCCGCGGUCUUGCAGCAUUAGAAGAGUACAGAUCAACAUAAUGUAAAGUAGUAAUAGUGUUAUCAACCUCGCCCAGAGAUUCUUCCUCGACUCCCUAUGAGAAAGCAAUCCCAGAGCCAUACUAUCCAUUUCUCAUCACAAUUAUCUAGUUCUAGUUGUAUCGAUCGGGAUACAACUCCAAGUGUCCGUUACCGUAGGACAAGCUAUCAAUAGAUGUCUUCCCUGCAGGGAUGCACCAACUUACCCACCACGCUCGAUUAACUUCGGCCGGACACACUUUCCCGGGUCAUGCUCGACCUCGGCCAAACGAUACGCCGCAACCCGACCUAGGCUUAAUAGAGAGGUCAACACGCCGGACUAAACCUAUGCCCCCAGGGGUCAUGGGCCAUCGCCCCGGGAACUCCUGCACGUUGCGAACGCGGCCGGUGAGUAGACCUAGCUACCACCUUAAAAAGGCAGGUGCUUACGCAGUCCAACCCGGCGCGUGCCGCUUAGUCUCUGAUGUCUAUUAAGCUUCGGCUGAUGCAUACGACGCAGAACGCCCAUAUUAUGCCCACGUGAUGGUUAGUGCUAUCAGGCUAGAGGCCCCUUGGAUCAAAUAUCCAAACCGUUAGUGUGUUGGUAGUGCAGUCACGAGCAGAGACUCACGAAAGAUGUAACCCCGUCGCCCCGUCUCGAGGACUUGCGGCAAGGGCUAAGAAUGCCCGGCCACGCCUCGUAUUCAACUCUCGAGUACCCUCCAGGUCAACCCGUCUCCACAUCACUCGCGGGUACCCCUCAGGGUCGACCCGCCUUUAGUAACAUGGUUCAGUGUAAAGUCAUAGUAACCAUAGUAAUGUGUGUCUAACACCAAGGGGAACCCUGAGGAACCACCCUCGGUGGAUUCCACUCGAUGUAAUCAUCAAGGUGAACAUAAGAGGAACCACCCUCGAGGUUCACACUUGAGGGGUUGCACGACAGAGUCGUAUCGGAAGUGGUUAAGGAGGAAUUACCCUCGAUGACCACGACCGAAUAGCUACACUACAGAGAUCUCAUCAGGAGUGAUGUAUGAGGUACCACCCACUGCACUCAAUGGUAACUCUGCAGAGUCGAGCAACAAAAGGGGCAUGAUGUGAUGUGAGGUGUCGGGCUCUGGUCGUCGAUCACAUUGAUCGAGUCAUCGAUGAUGAAGCAGGGGCAACAAGGACCAGGUGGGGGUCACUGAUGGAUCACUAACCAGCCUAUACUAAGCAGUUUAGGAUAAGCAGGUAGGUAACAAUAAGCAGGUUACAAAAGUAGGCUAUGCAUCAGAUAUGAGAAAUCAAUUACAGUAGCAAAAUCUAAUGCAAGCAUGAGAGAAUGGAAUGGGCGAUAUCGGGAUGAUCAAAGGGGGGCUUGCGUGGAAGCUCUGCUGUAAAGGAAGAAGGGUCGUCGGAGACAUAGUCGAUCACAGUCGCGACGAGAGUGGUCUCGGGGUCUAUCGGAGAGAAGAGGGGGAAGAAACAAUAAAUAUAAAAGCAAACAAAGCAUCAUAAGGCAUAACAUGGUAAUACGCGGUGUUAGGGGUGAACUAAUGCAGUGCUAGAUGUUGCAGAUGGAGAGGGAAAACAUCCAGAGGGGUUUCUCCGACGUUUGUCGUUUUCCGGACAAAUGAAAAGAGGGGGGCGUUCCAUGUUCAGAAUUCUAGGGGCACGUGACAGAUGAAUGGAACGUGUAUUCGGAUUCGUUGGAUUUUUUGUGAGCAACUUUCAUAUAUACAACUUUUUUAUCCGAGUUAUAGAUUAAUUUAUAUGAAUUUUCAAAGUUUUAAACAAUUUCUAGAAUUUAUGCAAUUAUUUUAAAUUCGAAAUAAAAAGGUUAAAUUGCUAUCGGUACACUUUCUGUGUACCCAACAAUGCACACAUGGUAGACAGGUGGGGCCAGGGGCCCCAGUUGACCCAGUCAACAUUGACUGGUCAAUGGGUGCAUAGUGUAGGUGGAUCCCACAUGUCAUAGACUUGCUUUAAGUUUGGAUUAAAUUAAUGGAGUUAACUAAGCUAGUGUCCCACAUGGCAUAGGCUAAAUUGGGCCUAGCUAAACUAAAUAAACACUAAAGUAAACAAAUACAAAUCCUACUCCAAUUAAACGGGCCGGCCAGAGGCACAACCAUCCGUCCAUGCCCAUGGCUGGGCAUGCACUCGCAUGAGCACACGACAGCAUGGCCAAAAGGGCUCGUAUGUGGGGAGGCUAGGAGCAGCAGCCUGCAGCCGCUUUCUAGGCGCGGCGUGGUGGUAGCAGCGGAAGCAGGGCGGCCAGCAGCCGCAUGAGGAGCAGCCAGCAGCGGCAACAUUAGUAAGAAGCAGCAGUAGAGAUAGUAGGAAGCAGGAAACAAUAGCAGAGUUUUAGCGGCAGCAGCGGCAAAGCACCAGGCAGCGGCCACGAGCAGCAGCAGUUGCCGAUGCGCAUGGGCAAGGGCAGCUGCGGGCGCAACGCACGAUGACGGGAGUGGGGGUGCGGCCAUGGGACGGCCGGCGCGCUGCCGGUUGUGGCCGGACGCGACCAGGGGGCACGGUGGGGAGCGUAUGGGGCGUCGUGGCGGGAGGGGCGGGCGCACAUCACGGCCAAUGGCCGGAGCUUGGGCGGCAGUAAACGGCGUCGUGAAGAGGGGAAGAAAGGCAAUAGGCGGAGGCUCACCCUGCGGCUAAGAAAAGCCCUCGACGGCUUUGUAGCGCAGGGGAGGCGACGAACGGUGCGGUGGAGCUCCGGUGAUCCGAGGCGGACGGAGGUUGAAGAAGACGGCGUGAUGGCGCUCCAGCGCCUCCGAGCUCAUGCAAAUGGCACCAGGGGGCAUAGCGGACGACUGCGAGGAGCUACGUCAUGGCGAAGACGCGCGUGGUGGUCGGUGGCCAUGUCGGAGCAAGGUGGACGGCAAGGGACGCAUCGGGAGGUGGGGGAUCUGGAGGAAGGGGGAGAGGAUCUCGGUGAGAGCGGCGUGGUGAGUGGAGGCGGGGAUCGAGGAGGCGGGGAGGCAAGUGGGGAGGGGAGCGGGGAGCCCGAGGCGUCGGGGGCCUUAUCCCCCUCGACGCCGGCGAGGUGGUCCGGCGGAGCCGCGCCUGUAGCGACCCGGGUCGGGGAACAGAGCGAGGGGAAGAAGCGACCGGGGGAGAGUGUGGGGCUGGCGGUCGGUCGGUCCAGUUGGGCUGCCUUGGGCCUUUGGGGCAGGUCGCCCAGAGGGCAGGGAGGCCUUUAUCUUUAAUUUAACUUAGCUUUUGUUUUUCUUUAAAAAAAAUCUGAUUUCCAAAACUUUUCCAAACGAAAACAGUUUUAUAGAUUAUAAAACUUACACCUAAAAUAUUAGUAUAAUUUAGGCUACUGCCAUAUUAAGUUGAACAUUUAAAUAAAAU